rnacentral:rRNA from 1 species
CUAGCAUAUCAAUAAGCGGAGGAAAAGAAACCAACAGGGAUUGCCUUAGUAACGGCGAGUGAAGCGGCAAAAGCUCAAAUUUGAAAUCUGGCACCUUCGGUGUCCGAGUUGUAAUUUGAAGAAGGUAACUUUGGAGUCAGCUCUUGUCUAUGUUCCUUGGAACAGGACGUCACAGAGGGUGAGAAUCCCGUGCGAUGAGAUGUCUGAUUCUAUGUAAAGUGCUUUCGAAGAGUCGAGUUGUUUGGGAAUGCAGCUCUAAGUGGGUGGUAAAUUCCAUCUAAAGCUAAAUAUUGGCGAGAGACCGAUAGCGAACAAGUACAGUGAUGGAAAGAUGAAAAGAACUUUGAAAAGAGAGUGAAAAAGUACGUGAAAUUGUUGAAAGGGAAGGGUUUGUGAUCAGACUUGGUAUUUUGUAUGUCUUGCUUUCGGGUGGGGCCUCUACAGUUUACUGGGCCAGCAUCGGUUUGGACGGUAGGAUAAUGACAUUGGAAUGUGGCACCACUUCGGUGGUGUGUUAUAGACUUUGUUGAUACUGCCUGUCUAGACCGAGGACUGCGUCUUUGACUAGGAUGCUGGCAUAAUGAUCUUAAACCGCCCGUCUUGAAACACGGACCAAGGAGUCUAACGUCUAUGCAAGUGUUUGGGUGUAAAACCCGUACGCGUAAUGAAAGUGAACGUAGGUGAGAGCUCUUUGAGUGCAUCAUCGACCGAUCCUGAUGUCUUCGGAUGGAUUUGAGUAAGAGCAUAGCUGUUGGGACCCGAAAGAUGGUGAACUAUGCCUGAAUAGGGUGAAGCCAGAGGAAACUCUGGUGGAGGCUCGUAGCGGUUCUGACGUGCAAAUCGAUCGUCGAAUUUGGGUAUAGGGGCGAAAGACUAAUCGAACCAUCUAGUAGCUGG